AAGUCGUAACAAGGUUUCCGUAGGUGAACCUGCGGAAGGAUCAUUAUCAUAGUAUAAUAUCCACAAACCUAAACGUGAACUGUUAUAUUGUCCUUUAAGUUAUUGUAAAAUAAUUUUCUGGGCUGUUGAUGAUUUUUCUUUUGAUUCUAAAUUAGACAGAGAUUUAAGUAUUAGAAAUUGAAAUGAAAAGGAGUUUUUUCUUCGGAAAAGCUUUCUUUUUGUUCUUUUUCUCUAUUUAUUUCUUUUUCUUUUUAGAAUUUCAAGAGAUAAUCAUUUUUUUUUUUAAAUUUAUUAACACAUUGAACCAUAUUAUUUAUUGUUUGACUGAUUUUUUCUUACCCAACCUAAAAAAUUGGGAAGAAAUUAUGUUUAUACGAAACAUAAGUACAACUCUUAGCAACGGAUAUCUCGGCUCUCAUAACGAUGAAGAACGCAGC
rnacentral:misc_RNA from 1 species